UCCAAAAAGUCAGCAUUCAGCAGGUAGGAAACAUCAUCACCUGCAGCUCAGAGGGCAUCUACCCUAAACCUGAACUCACCUGGUCCACCAGUCCUUCAUCCAACGUAACUUCCAAGAACAUCACAGUCCAGCCGACUGAGCGGCUUCUCUACAACAUCAGCAGUUCUUUGAUCCCUUCGAGCAGUGAUAGGGAUCUAAAGUACAGCUGCACCAUCAGCACUCGCAGAAACGGAGAGAAGGCAACUUUAUUUAAACCAAAUCCACCAAAUGACAGUUCUCAGAGUCUGCAUCCAAACCAGCUGAGAGCCACCAUAGGAGGGAUCAUUGGAGGACUUUUUGUUAUAGCAGUAUUAGCAGCAGUCCUGUGGUGGAUGAAAAUAAAAGGACGUUUCCUCAGAUCUCCAUACUAACCAAGAAAUAAAGUUGAACAACAUUCAGGUGAGGUUUCUGCAAUAAUGAACAUGAGUUUUCAUUUCAACCAACACAUCUGACACCAGCCAAGCAGCUUCCAGUGAACAGUGAACUGCCUCUGUCAAGUAACAAUUACAGUUAAGACAGGUGGAAACAAAAAACUUCCCUAUCCCAUGUUCUGGAUAUGAAGGAAUAAAUGAUGGCCAGAAGAUUUCAAUGAAUCCCAGAGCAAACACAUUUUGUCCCCCAACAAUUAAGAACGGAACAGUUACAAUUUCUUUGUGAUCUCAGGGAAGCAAAAACAGCAUUAAGUUAGAAGCUAAAAUCAUUUUGGCUGUCAGCUCAGCAAAGCUGGAAGUUUAACAGAUGAACAACUACAGAAGAAAACCUUCACAUCUGUGAUGUGGAGCUGUUACUGGGACACACUGUCGCUGAGGAACAAGAACACUGAAAGCAUGCUUCACAUUUUCUACACUGCAAACAAAGAUUUUUUACUAGCAGACUCCGGCUCUUGAAGUACAGCAUGUUUUUCUUUCUCCUCCUCAGAGCAGACUUACUGUUUAUUUUAUAAUAUAACCUAAAUAUUUUAAUAUCCAUCCCUGCUGUUUCCGGGAUUGUGGAGUUUGGAGUCUUUGACAAACUGAAUGAUGAAAAAGAAGGAAAAAUUUUGAAAUGUGGAAAGAAAAACUUGAGUUUAGUUUAGUUUUAUUUUUUUUAACUAUAGUGCAAGGAAAUAAAUAUAGAGUAAAAUGUAUUCAUGUAUUUGUGCUGCUAAAUCAGGACUGUAUAUAUUGUAUUUUU